GACGAAGAACGUAGCGAAAUGCGAUAAGUAAUGUGAAUUGCAGAAUUCAGUGAAUCAUCGAAUCUUUGAACGCACAUUGCGCCCGCCAGUAUUCUGGCGGGCAUGCCUGUUCGAGCGUCAUUUCAACCAUCAAGCCCCCGGCUUGUGUUGGGGACCUGCGGCUGCCGCAGGCCCUGAAAAGCAGUGGCGGGCUCGCUGUCACACCGAGCGUAGUAGCAUACAUCUCGCUCUGGGCGUGCUGCGGGUUCCGGCCGUUAAACCACCUUCAUAACCCAAGGUUGACCUCGGAUCAGGUAGGAAGACCCGCUGAACUUAAGCAUAUCAAUAAGCGGAGGA
rnacentral:misc_RNA from 1 species